UCCUCGUUGGUGUAUCGGUAACAUAUGAGCUUCUCACGGUCACAGUGUGACACGCCUUGCAUAAUCAAAGUCGCUCGAGCGCGGGGUUCGAUUCCCCGACGGGGAA